GUGCGGUUGUCCGUUCUUCCCCGGGGAGGCCGUUGACUGCAGCAGCCUCAGGCUUGCGUGGGCUGUCUCUGCCUGGCCUCCCUCUCCUCGCGGUGCGGGAGCACAGAGGGACAGGCGGAGCGCUUACUGGCUGUGGACGGGAGCUGCUGAAGCUGAAGCUGGAGAGGCCACAGAAUGGUAAAGCUGCUGAAGAAUAAAAUAAAGAGGAUCCAGCCAGCAGCUGCAGACAGGAGAUAGCCUGCCUCUCCAGGUGGAUGACAGUCAAGUGACUGCAGCUGCAGAGGAGGAAGGGAGAGGGAGAGAGAGACAGGCAUGUCUGAACAGUCAAAUUCUCUCAGCAGCUCCAAGAGCGGGAGUCUGCAGUGAAGACCAUGGUGACAUAGGCUGUCCCCCUGCAGCCCACGGAGGUCCAUGGCAGAGCAGAUAUGCACCCUGCAGCC